CUACGGGACGCACCAGUGGGGAAUAUUGCACAAUGGGCGCAAGCCUGAUGCAGCCAUGCCGCGUGUAUGAAGAAGGCCUUCGGGUUGUAAAGUACUUUCAGCGGGGAGGAAGGGAGUAAAGUUAAUACCUUUGCUCAUUGACGUUACCCGCAGAAGAAGCACCGGCUAACUCCGUGCCAGCAGCCGCGGUAAUACGGAGGGUGCAAGCGUUAAUCGGAAUUACUGGGCGUAAAGCGCACGCAGGCGGUGUGUUAAGUCAGAUGUGAAAUCCCCGGGCUCAACCUGGGAACUGCAUCUGAUACUGGCAAGCUUGAGUCUCGUAGAGGGGGGUAGAAUUCCAGGUGUAGCGGUGAAAUGCGUAGAGAUCUGGAGGAAUACCGGUGGCGAAGGCGGCCCCCUGGACGAAGACUGACGCUCAGGUGCGAAAGCGUGGGGAGCAAACAGGAUUAGAUACCCCAGUAGUC
rnacentral:rRNA from 1 species